AACGAACGCUGGCGGCAGGCCUAAGACAUGCAAGUCGAACGCCCCGCAAGGGGAGUGGCAGACGGGUGAGUAACACGUGGGAACGUGCCCGAAGGUACGGAACAACUCCGGGAAACUGGAGCUAAUACCGUAUGUGACCGAGAGGUGAAAGAUUUAUCGCCUUCGGAUCGGCCCGCGUCAGAUUAGCUUGUUGGUGGGGUAAUGGCCUACCAAGGCUACGAUCUGUAGCUGUUCUGAGAGGAAGAUCAGCCACUUUGGGACUGAGACCCGGCCCAAACUCCUACGGGAGGCAGCAGUCGGGAAUAUUGGACAAUGGGCGCAAGCCUGAUCCAGCCAUGCCGCGUGAGUGACGAAGGCCUUAGGGUUGUAAAACUCUUUCGCACGUGACGAUAAUGACGGUAACGUGAGAAGAAGCUCCGGCUAACUUCGUGCCAGCCGCCGCGGUAAGAC
rnacentral:rRNA from 1 species